rnacentral:tRNA from 1 species
AUUAGGAUCUGCUACAGUAAGCAGUUGGGCUCAUGCCCCAAAAAUGGUAACUCACCUCCUAAUA